CCUACGGGUGGCUGCAGUGGGGAAUAUUGGACAAUGGCGGGAACGCUGAUCCAGCGAUGCCGCGUGAGUGAAGAAGUAUUUUGGUAGUUAAAGCUCUAUCAUCAGGGAAGAAAAUUACGGUACCUUACUAAGAAGCGCCGGCUGACUACGUGCAAGACGCCUCAGUAAGACGGAGGGGGCAAGCGAGAUCCGGAUUUACUGGGUGUAUAGGGAGCGGAGGCGGUGCAGCAAUGCUGAUGUGAAAGGGCGGGGCCCAACGCCGGGACUGCAUUGGAAACUGUUGAACUGGAGUACAGGAGCGGUAAGAGGAAUUCGUAGUGUAGCGGUGAAAUGCAUAGAUAUUAGGAAGAACACCAGUGGCGAAGGCGGCUUACUGGACUGUAACUGACGUUGAGGCUCGAAAGCGUGGGGAGCAAACAGGAUUAGAUACCCCAGUAGUC
rnacentral:rRNA from 1 species